GGACAUGUACAAGAAGGCACACUCUGCGAUCCGCUCCGAUCCCGUACACAAGCCGAAACCCGCGCGAGAGCACACGGGCAAGGUCAAGAGGUGGAACAGGAAGAAGAUGAGCAAGGCUCAGCACAUGGACCGCGUCAAACAGAAGAAAGCUGCGUUCGUGAAGAAGCUGCAGACAGAGGAGGAUGAGUGAAGGGCCUCGCAGUGCGAGAUAGGAAGAGAGAGAGAGAGAUGUUUAUUAAUUAAAUCGUGUUGAAGAGAUACA